rnacentral:rRNA from 1 species
GUUUCGGCGGUUGACUCCAAUUGAACCGCAGGCUUCACCCCUUGUGGUGCUCCCCCGCCAAUUCCUUUAAGUUUCAUACUUGCGUACGUACUUCCCAGGCGGCAAACUUAACGGCUUCCCUGCAGCACUGCAUUGGCCAUAAGCCAAUGCAUCACUGAGUUUGCAUAGUUUACAGCUGGGACUACCCGGGUAUCUAAUCCGGUUUGCUCCCCCAGCUUUCAUCCCUCACCGUCGAACGUGUUCUGGUAGACCGCCUUCGCCACAGGUGGUCAUCAAGAGAUCAAAGGAUUUUACCCCUUCCUCCCGAGUACCGUCUACCUCUCCCACUUCCUAGUUAUGCAGUAUUCCCGGCAGCCCAUACGUUAAGCGCAUGGAUUUAACCGAAAACUUACAAAACGAGCUACGAAUGCUUUAGGCCCAAUAAUCAUCCUGACCACUUGAGGUGCUGGUUUUACCGUGGCGGCUGACACCAGAACUUGCCCACCCCUUAUUCGUUAGUGUUUCUAGGACUGACAAAAGGUUUCCUUAGCAGAAACCACUCGGAUUAACCUUGUCGUGCUUUCGCACAUUGCAAAGUUUUCUCGCCUGCUGCGCCCCAUAGGGCCUGGGUCCGUGUCUCAGUACCCAUCUCCGGGCUACUCCUCUCAGAGCCCGUACCUGUAAUAGUCUUGGUGGGCCAUUACCUCACCAACAAAACUGAUAGGCCGCAGUCCCAUCCUAUGGCGAUAAAUCAUUUGAAACAUAAACCAUUCCAGGCAUAAUGUUCUAUCGGGCAUUAUUCUCAGUUUCCCGAGGUUAUUCCCGUCCANAGGGUAAAAUGGACUACNCGUUACUGANCCNGUCUGCCUUGGAUUGCUACAAAGACNCNCAAGGGNUUAUUAUCAAUCC